GCUAAGGUGGCAGAGCCUGGUAAUUGCUAAAGGCCUAAGCCCUUUUUCCCAGGGGUUCAAAUCCCCUCCUUCAGCU
rnacentral:tRNA from 1 species